rnacentral:lncRNA from 1 species
GCAAGCACUGAAUCGUUCAUUAUUUCACAAGCCACUUCUUGUGUUGAUCAAAAGCUACUAGCGCGUCCUGAUACGAACUGUUAGUCUUUCACUUCACCCCAACACACACACACACACACACAAGCUGUUCUUUUGUCAAGCCGUAACUAAGUGAAUACCGCUCUGGUGUUGUCUUUUCACAAUAGGAAAGAUGAAAGAGUGUUUUAAGAUUCGCAUAAUGGGAUGCUUGCCGUCUCGACGACAAGACGAAGAGACUUCUCCCAAGGAAAACUCUCCGUCGAACAAAGCAUCUGGAAAGCGUUCGAAUCGAACACAGCAGAAGGGAAACAAGGACAAAGCGACACUCGCUCCGACGAUUCAAAUGGUCAAUGCAGACACCUUGAAACUUUUACAGGAAAUCGGCGAACUUAAGAUGUUUCAAACAGCGAGCGAUUCCGAUCACAAGAAACACAUAGACUUACACCAUGAUAUAAUGCUAGCCUUAGAGAACCCAACUAAAGCGAGCAACGCCGUCACGUCAGUGGCAACUGGGACAACAAGCAAUGUGAUAUAGAAACCGGUUGGAAACCACUGAAAUUUUUCUACUGAAACUGACCAGAAAAUAACAUCGUUUUAUGGAAUCGACGCGGAAAAUUUAUUCAUGUCCUCUUGGACUCGCUUCAUCGCUCGACGAAUAUAGUGAAAUGUGAACAACCUAUGAACGAGGACAGGAUGCAAUUUUUCCUCGUUAAAUUUUUUUUGUGGAUAUUUAUUGUUGAUCUGUCUUUGUGGGUUUCAUAAUUCCUGCCUUGUGAACUAAAUGUCUUCCAGAAACGAAAUGGAUGGCAGCCAGAUAAUUCCUUUGAAGAAAAUGGAAACUGGCCAAAAUAGCAAGCAAGCAAGCAGGUCGGCGCUGUGGCCACAAUUCCUCAUGGGCCGAUAUCACGGCUGCACAGAACGAGAGGCGAAUUUCGAUUGGGCUGUUUUCAAGGUGAAAUAUAACGAGAAAACAAGGGCAGUUACAAGACGCGAGUGUAUGUUUUACCGAGACAAGUAGAACCCAACCAGCGAGGCGAACAAUUAAAAAUGUUCAAUUUAGGAAUGAGUUUAUUUAGCGACUUAUCGCGAAAACCCGUUGAAUUUUCAAUAAAAAUAGGCCCUUGCAGUAAACUAAGGCGAGGAGCAUGUAAAUACAAAAUUCGUUGUAUUAAUAUUCAUACGCUAUAAUGCAGAAUUCUAUUUUCUUUUAAACAAACAGACGGCAUAUGUUCAUUCAUUCGUUUUACAAUUUGAAACGUUUACGAAGUUUUAUUCGCUAGCUAUCGUCUGAAAAAUCAAUCUCUUUAUCAAUGGCCUUUGUGAUCGCUAAUGCAUACGACUCUUUUUUGUUGCCGUGGAAAAAAAAAACUUCCUUGACGAACUGCCGUAAAAGGUGUAUUGUUAAAACCGAAGAUAAUAUUUUCGAGUUUAUACAAUUUACCAAUAGGAAAAACUCUUCGACAUGAAAGAGUCACGAUCGCCGUACAGCGCACAAAACAGUUGUAAUGAUAACAACGAUGUACAUUGGAGUAAUAAGUUUCGGGGAAGAAACAUCACCUCGUACGAUUCGGUUGAAACCGCCCUACUUCAACUCACUCUGUCGCUGGACGAAAUAAACAGAACGGUGAAAAUUAGGGAAAAAAAAUUCAUCGAAUUUGCAUACAAGUCAUAAAGUUGAUUAAAAAUUUGACAAAAAACAUGGAAGUAUAUUUGAUGGUUUUUCAGCAAUAUUUCUUGUUAACUAUUUAUUCGUGACAAUGAAAAAUCUUCCAUGUAAAGAAACCAUGUAAUAAAACUCAGUUUUAGAA